AGUUAACGUACUAACCUACUUCCACGUAGUGUUAACUGGGCAACGCUUAGAUAACUAGGCGGCUAAGCGGUUAGU
rnacentral:ribozyme from 1 species